ACUUUGUGCUUUAAGGUGAUGAAUGUCUAACUCCAAACCUUUGUGACAUCUUGUUGUAUUUUAUAGAAAUUGGGACUGCGAAAGACGAGAGGUGAUGUAAAGAUCUCCAGUAAUACAAAGAGUUGGAUACCCCAGAAUGAAGUGAGAAUAAACUUGACAUCUUCUGAAGCUGAAAGCAAGAUAGUUGAUCAUUUCCCAGCCUCUGCCUGUACCACUCCACACUCAGCAGAGAAUGUAACAACAUUGCAAGUAAGCCAGAUGGAGAGAUGAAAGAGAAGGGAGACGGAGAAACAAGUUUCUCCCAGUGCCAUGGC